rnacentral:rRNA from 1 species
AGCAGCCGCGGUAAUUCCAGCUCCAAUAGCGUAUAUUAAAGUUGUUGCAGUUAAAAAGCUCGUAGUUGAAUUUCGGGACCAAUCUGCCGGUCGUGCCUCCGGUACGCACUGGUUUUAUUGGUUUCUCCCUUCUGACGAACCAUGAUGUCAUUAAUUUGGUGUCAUGGGGAAUCAGGACUGUUACUUUGAAAAAAUUUAGAGUGUUUAUAGCAGGCUCACGCUUGAAUACAUUAGCAUGGAAUAAUGAAAUAGGACGUUUGACCCUAUUUUGUUGGUUUCUAGGAUCGACGUAAUGAUUAAUAGGGAUAGUUGGGGGCAUUAGUAUUCAAUUGUCAGAGGUGAAAUUCUUGGAUUUAUUGAAGACUAACUACUGCGAAAGCAUUUGCCAAGGAUGUUUUCAUUAAUCAAGAACGAAAGUUUGGGGAUCGAAGACGAUCAGAUACCGUCGUAGUCUUAACCAUAAACUAUGCCGACUAGGAAUCAGACGAUGUUAAUUUUUUUAAUGACUCGUUUGGCACCU